GUGCAGCAGGCGCGAAAACUUUACAAUGCCGGCAACGGCGAUAAGGGAACCUCGAGUGCCAGGUUACAAAUCUGGCUGUCGUGAUGCCUAAAAAGCAUUGCAUAGCAAGGGCCGGGCAAGACCGGUGCCAGCCGCCGCGGUAACACCGGCGGCUCGAGUGGUAACCGUUAUUAUUGGGUCUAAAGGGUCUGUAGCCGGCCGGAUAAGUCUCUUGGGAAAUCUGGCAGCUUAACUGUCAGGCUUUCAGGAGAUACUGUCUGGCUCGAGGCCGGGAGAGGUGAGAGGUACUUCAGGGGUAGGGGUGAAAUCUUGUAAUCCUUGAAGGACCACCAGUGGCGAAGGCGUCUCACCAGAACGGACCUGACGGCAAGGGACGAAAGCUAGGGGCACGAACCGGAUUAGAUACCCGGGUAGUCCUAGCCGUAAACGAUACUCGCUAGGUGUCGGCCACGGUGCGACCGUGGUCGGUGCCGUAGGGAAGCCGUGAAGCGAGCCACCUGGGAAGUACGGCCGCAAGGCUGAAACUUAAAGGAAUUGGCGGGGGAGCACAAGG
rnacentral:rRNA from 1 species